rnacentral:lncRNA from 1 species
GCUGGUUAUAGCAUAUCCACCAUCCCUACACAGGAAGCAUGGUGGCAUCAGCUUCUGGGGAGGCCUCAGGUAUCCACAGUGAUGGCGGAAGGUGAUGGCAGGGUGUCUCACACGGUGGGAGCAGGAGCGAGAGAGAAAGGGGGGAGGUGCUACACAAUUUAAAAGUAAGCAGAUCUCAUGAUCAUUCACUCACUAUUCAGUACCAAGAGGGGAUCGUGCUAAACUAUUUAUGAGAACUCUGCCCCUGUGAUCUAAUCACCUCCCACCAGGCCUCACCUCCGACACUGGGGAUUACAAUUCAACAUGAGAUUUGGGUGGGGACAUGAUCCAAACCACAUCAAUUGGCCUUUCUGAUUGCAUAAGAUCAGAAGAAUGACAAAAUACUAAUGCCAUGUUCACUGUUUGGUUCUUUGCUUAGGGAAAAUGGAAACCUCGGAUCAUUGGUAAUCCCAAUUACCAGGGGGAAUGAAUUCAUCUCAAAAUAGAUAACCCUAAAUAUAAGCCUGAUGCCACCAUUCGUCACUAUUGUAACAUUAGUGUUCUCAGCCUGGACCUUUGGCAGAAUCAAUGAAUCUGAAAAACAAAAAGAUUCUUUAAGCACCUGGUAAAUUUCGGGUCACACAUUAGAAAAUGAGCAAGCAUCAGUAAUAUUGAUGGGAGUGAAAAUAUGACAUUGCGAAAGUCUCCUACUUCUAAAUGUGAAAAGGAGACUCAGAAAAGUUAAAUAAUUUGCCUGAAGACAUAUAUCUGUUAAGGUAAGUAGAAAAGCUAGAAUUUAAGUACAGCUCUUUUUUUGUUUGUUUGAGACAGAGUCUCACUUACUCUGUCAUCCAUGCUGGAGUGCAGUGGCGCAAUUUCAGCUCACUGCAACCUUUGCCUCCUGGGUUCAAAUGAUUCUCCUGCCUCAGCCUCCUGAGUAGCUGGGACUACAGGCAUGCACAACUACGCCUGCCUAACUUUUCUAUUUUUAGUAGAGACAGGGUUUCACCAUGUUGGCUAGGCUGGUCUCCAAUUCCUGACCUCAAGUGAUCCACCGCCUUGGCCUGGGAUUACAAGCGUGAGCCACCAUGCCCGGCUGAGUGCAGGUCUUUCUGAUGUCAGAUUCAAAGUUCCAGUACUUUACACUGCUUCUGCUG